AGACCCGAAACCCGGUGAUCUAGCCAUGGGCAGGUUGAAGGUUGGGUAACACUAACUGGAGGACCGAACCGACUAAUGUUGAAAAAUUAGCGGAUGACCUGUGGCUGGGGGUGAAAGGCCAAUCAAACCGGGAGAUAGCUGGUUCUCCCCGAAAGCUAUUUAGGUAGCGCCUCGUGAAUUCAUCUCCGGGGGUAGAGCACUGUUUCGGCUAGGGGGCCAUCCCGGCUUACCAACCCGAUGCAAACUGCGAAUACCGGAGAAUGUUAUCACGGGAGACACACGGCGGGUGCUAACGUCCGUCGUGAAGAGGGAAACAACCCAGACCGCCAGCUAAGGUCCCAAAGUCAUGGUUAAGUGGGAAACGAUGUGGGAAGGCCCAGACAGCCAGGAUGUUGGCUUAGAAGCAGCCAUCAUUUAAAGAAAGCGUAAUAGCUCACUGGUCGAGUCGGCCUGCGCGGAAGAUGUAACGGGGCUAAACCAUGCACCGAAGCUGCGGCAGCGACGCUUAUGCGUUGUUGGGUAGGGGAGCGUU
rnacentral:rRNA from 1 species